CUUAGAGCUAAGAGGUUCAAACAGUGUCUGGGCUGCAGGACAAAUUCAAACUUCUCUUUUGUUGCUAAGAUUUGAGCUUGAAAACGGUCGUUUUGAAUCUUGGUCUCUUCAUGAAAGUUUUAGGCCUUUGUUGUACCUUUCCAUC
rfam:Populus trichocarpa scaffold_12_contig_213, whole genome shotgun sequence.